UACGUAGGGCGCAAGCGUUGUCCGGAAUUAUUGGGCGUAAAGAGCUCGUAGGCGGUUUGGCGCGUCUGUCGUGAAAGCUCGGGGCUUAACCCCAAGUCUGCGGUGGAUACUGGCAGACUAGAGGCAGGUAGGGGAGAACGGAAUUCCCGGUGUAGCGGUGAAAUGCGCAGAUAUCGGGAGGAACACCAGUGGCGAAGGCGACUACCUGGCCCACUCUUGACGCUGAGGCGCGAAAGCUAGGGGAGCGAACGGG
rnacentral:rRNA from 1 species